rnacentral:tRNA from 1 species
GCCCGGAUGGCGGAAUUGGUAGACGCGUUGGUCUCAAACACCAAUGUCUUCGGACGUGCCGGUUCGACCCCGGCUCCGGGUACAA